ensembl:lncRNA
GCAUACACAAAAAAUGUUAAUUUUCAAUACCGAUCUAUGCCACAGUCUUUUCAAAGACAUUUUUUUAAAAGACAGUCAAGCUCAGUACACACGGAGUCCUACAACUGCACACAGCUCAUUCCAAGUAUGCCCAACACGGGCAGACAACUAUGCCACUGCUGCCAUCUGGCUGACAAUGACUGUGAUAAGCAUCCUGAUUUAGAAAUGUUGAAAUAACUGCAUCUGAGCAUCAAAGAAAGCAUCCCCACUUUGUAGACACAGAGACUGGCACAGCCAGAUUUACUGAUUUGCCCCAAAACUUCCCAGAUAGCAAGUGGCUUACCCAGACUUUCAACUGGAGUGGUCCGGCCUCAGAGCUGAGAAACAUUCAACUCUCUGCAUCUUCAGUGAUCUCUCCGUUUCUGCUGGUGGAGACCUCAUUCACAGCUGUCCUGUUUUCCCAGCACCACUUGUUGAAGAGACUGUCUUUCCACCAUUGUGUCGUCUUGCCUCCUUUGUCACGGACUGACUGACCACAGCUUCAUGGACUGUAGCCCACCAGGCUCCUUUGUCCAUGGGAUUUCCCAAGAAAGAAUACUGCAGUGGGUUGCCAUGUCCUCCGGAGGAUCUUCCUGACCCAGGGAUUGAAGCCUCAUCUCCUGCAUUGGCAGGAGGAUUCUUUACCAUGAGCACCACCCGGGAAGCUCCACUAUGUACUUAGGAAGAGUUUAUUAGUCCAUAGA